CAGGUGACUCGUGACCUCACGCUAGUCGUAGCAAUACAAACAAGCAGUGUAUAGGCAAAAUUAACAUCACACCAAACAUAUAAACAAAAUACAUAAUAAUAAUGUACACAUUAAAAUAAGAUUCUAGGAACAAGAAUCAUUAAUUUUGGAGUUAUAGAUUUUAAGUUAUGGAUUUCCAAAGAUUCUAUGUGCUCAGUACAAGAUUAAUUAAGAUAACAAUUUUAAUGUGAUUUUUAUGUAAAACCAGUGGCACUAAAUGAUAAACAAUAAUAUUACAAAAUUAUAGGAACUAGAAUGGGCUAAUUUGGACUUAAUAUGAAUUUUCUAUGGAUUAUACAAGUUUUACAACUAUUUCUAUACUCAAAAUCAAUUUCUAAAUAUCUUUUUCCUGUUUUAUUUAAUUCCUGGACUGCGCCUCAAAUACAGGAAAGCACAGGGGCCAAAUCAGAAGUAAUCUACAGACUCAACCUAGCCCGAGGGUGGACGGCGGGUUAAAUAACCAAGACUCCGAGGGCUCAUUAGUAAAAUGUACCCACGAAGGGGUACGGGGUUUUUACGGCCGUUGGAUUGUAAGCGGACGGUGCAGGUUAGAUCGGUAUAAUCCCGAACCGGUACGCAGCGAUAGCCCUCGGAUCUGAAUCUGACGGUCACAAAUUAAUUGAUCGAGAUCUAUUUCGAGCCGAAGGAUACCGAUCCGACGACCCAGAACCAAAUGCCCCAAUCGGUACGCCAGAACUAAUCUGGGCCGUCCAUCCUUGGAUCCACAGCCCCGCGCUACCCCACAUCAUUCCGAUCACCAGAGCGACGGCGCAGCACCGAAGCACGGCGGAGCAUCGCCGGCGGACACGCAAUCCGACGCCCGAAUGCCCCAAACCCAAAAUUGACCGGUGCUAAACCUAGAGGAGGUGAUGGCGAACACGGAAAGAAGAUUCUCACCCGCGAUUGAAGGAGUAGCGAGCUCGACCACGGUUCGGGGCGGGUCCGCGACACGAGCAGAACGCCGGUGAGGGAUUCUGGUGAUCCCGCGCCUGCCCGCUUGCACUGACACGGUCCGAGGACGACUGUGGAGACUACCGGACUCCGGAUGAGGCCCAGGUGAUAGCGCACGGCCAGCUCACGGCGGAGACGUCUUCCCUCCGAUCUCUUCCUCUCUCACUGCGACGGCGGCGCUAGGUUUCCUGGAGGGGCCAUGGAGGGCUCCGGUUUUAUACCCAUGAGGAGAACGGAGUCCGUGCAGGUGAGUUUCACGCGGCCGAGGAACCAGGGCGGUCAUGGCCGAGGAUCACGCGCCAAGCGCCGGCCACCCGCGCGACGCGGACGAUUCCGUUGAGGAAGGGGCGUCUGACCGUAUGGGCCCGCACGGCAGUGGUUAGAGCGAGCCAAGCAGCGGCUGGCCGCGUGGGCCCGGGGUGUCAGCGCGCCACCCACGGUCAGUUUGGGCCGCGCGCAGGGAAAUCCCCUGGUGGGCCGAAUAGCCACCAGUGAGCCCAGAUAAGCUUCUUUCUCUUUUUUUUUUCUGAUUUCUUUUUCUCUUUUUUUUUCAAUUUCUAGAAUUCAAAUUUACAUUCAAAUCUUGUGACAAACUUUAUCUUCAAGUUAUAUUGUGACCUUAAGGUACUAAUUUUGUAAAUACACAUAAACUUUCUUUAUAUUUUAUAUAUAUAUAUUUUUUUUCGAACUCUCAAAUUAGGUAUUAAAUCCUUGCUUUUGCCACCAAUUUAUUUCUAUUAGUGGCAUAACUCUUUCAUUAGAUGCACAAACAAUAAACUCCAGCAUGUCACAUGAUUUAAUAGUAUAUCUUUUUAUUAUUUAUUUAUUUGUUCUCUUGUGAUGUUCUCAUGAGAUGAUAAAUAUGGACAACACACAUAUAUACAAAGGAAUAUCAAUUCUCCUCUUAGGCUAUCUUCCACCAAUUGCAAGUUGGGUAUUACAGCACAGCAGUCGGAGCGGGGCGAGCGGCGCUGUUUUCCUGUCAGGUCGGUCAGUGAAAGGGCGAAGUGACUGUGGUCACUUCGACCUUGCCGACUGAGGCGCGCGUGUCAGGAUAAGGUGUCAGGCGAUCCUCGCAUUAAAUGUGCAUGCGAUACGGUCGGUUGGUGAGGCGAUUUGGCCAAGGUUGCUUCACAACGAAGCCUGCCCGAGCUGGGCUUCGGGCGAGUCGAGGGUGCGCCCACCGCCUGAGGAGGCCCUCGGGCGAGGCGUGAAUUCGUCCGGGACUACUGUUCCUGCCCGAGGCCGGGCUCGGGCGAGGCGAGAUUGCGUCCCUUGGUAGACGAGGCCUUGACCUGAACCGUGCCCAUCAGCCUUUGUGGUUUGCGCUGAGGGUGGUUACCAGCCGUGUUUAGGAGUGUUGGGGGUACCCCUAAUUACGGUACCCGACAGGGAGCAAAUUUUAAAUCUUGAAAAUGCUUCUCGAAAUCUUAUUCAUUUACCUUUGACUAUUUGCAAAAAAACUUUGAAAAGAAUUUCAAAAAGAAUUUGCAAAAACAAAACAAGUGGUGCAAGUGUGGUCCAAAAUGUUAAAAGAAAGAAAGCAAUCCAUGCAUAUAUUAUGAAAGUUUAAAUUGGUUCAAUUACAAGCAACAUUUGCACUUACCUUAUGCAAACUAGUUCAAUUAUGCACUUAUAUAUUUGCUUUGGUUUGUGUUGGCAUCAAUCACCAAAAAGGGGGAGAUUGAGAGGGAAAUAAGGUCAAACUUUUUCCUAAUUGAUUUUGGUGGUUGAAUUUCCCAACACAAAUAAUUGGACUAACUAGUUUGCUCUAGAUUAUAAGUUCUACAGGUGCAAAAGGUUCAAUACAAACCAAUAAAAAAGGUCCAAGAUAGGGUUCAAAAGAAAGGAGCAAAAGAAACCGGAGGCUGCCCUGGUCUGGCGCACCGGAAUGUCCGGUGUGCCACCGGACAGUGUCCGGUGCACCAGGGUGGAUCAACUCGAACUCGCCACCUUUUGGUUUCUGGAAAAGCCACUCCGCUAUAAUUCACCGGACUGUCCGGUGUGGCACCAGACUGUCCGGUGUGCCAGCGGAGCAACGGCUACAGCACAACGGUCGACUCCAACGGAAACCUGAAAAGCGCUACAGUGCGCGGACAGUUCGUGCAGAGUCAGAGCAGGUGCCAGAAGGCGCACCGGACAGUGAAUAGUGACUGUCCGGUGCACCACCGGACUGUCCGGUGGCCCAGUCUGUCAGAGCUUCAACGGUCGAACCCUAACUGUUGGGUGACGUGGCUUGUCCGGUGCGCCCAUCGACAGCAGCCCAACCCCAACAGUUGGUUUGGUGGUUGGGGCUAUAAAUACCCCCAACCACCACCACUUCAAGGCAUCCAUGUUUUCAGCCAUUGCAUUCAAUACAAGAGCUCUAGACUUCACUCCAAGACACAAACAAGAGAUCAAAUCCUCUCCCAAGUCUAAGAUCACUCCAAACAAUUAGUGACUAGUGAGAGAGAGAUAUCUGUGUUCAUUUGAGUUCUUGUCGCUUGGAUCGCUUUUCUUCUUCCUCCAUUCUUGUUCUCAAGCAACUUGUAAUCAAGCAAGAGACAUCAAGUUGUGGUGGUCCUUGUAAGGGGUCUAAGUGACCCAUUGAUUAAGGAGAAAAGCUCACUCGGUCUAGGUGACCGUUUGAGAGGGGGAAAGGGUUGAAAGAGACUCGGUCUUUGUGACCACCUCAACGGGGAGUAGGUUUGCAAGAACCGAACCUCGGUAAAACAAAUCACCGUGUCAUCCGCUCUAUUUCUUUGGUUGAUUUGUUUUCGCCCUCUUUUUUGGACUCGGUUAUAUUUCUAACGCUAACCUGGCUUGUAGUUGUGCUUAAAGUUUAUAAAUUUCAGAUUUGCCUAUUCACCCCCUCCCCUCUAGGCGACUUUCAAGUAUGUCGAAUUAAAUGUUCUAGUUCAUAUUUGCAUGACGUAAAUGCGAUAACUUCACAAUCGUAACUUCGAUCUCGUCGUUUCUUUUUCUCAUAUGACCGUAGAAGCGAACUCUAUUUCAUAUUGCACAUUUUUAUAAUGAUUUCCCUUGUAUGGUGUAUUGUUCCUUUCUGUUUCAAGAAUGUUGAAUGUAUAUUCGCACUCGCCUAGAUAACAUUCCGUCCGUGGAGUCUGAGAAAGUUGUAGGAGAAGCCCCUGAGCUACAGCAGUUUGGUGAAGGCAAGUGUCCUCUGACCUAUUAUGUCCUAUUUACUUUAUAAUUCAUUUUCCCGCAUACUAUGAGUAACCUAAGGAUUGACUAUCUUUCUAUUUAUUAUGUCCUUGAUUACCUUUUGGGUUGGGCUAUUAUGAUCAACUACAUGCUAGUGCUUUACUUUAAUCAACGAACAUGAUGAGAAUUGCUUUUUGAUACGAUGAUUCAUACUGAUUAUGAUUAUGAGCUUGUGGCAUUUUAGGGGGCUCGAGCUAUUUCUCAAGUACCUCUCCGUAAGGACCUGUUCGUUGAGAGACCACCCGAGACAACAGUACAACCAUGAGGGUGGUUUGAGACACUCUUAGCUGGUUAAUUGGAGGAAUCUAGUGGUGUAGUUUGCUUCGCCGUUGUAUCGUCAAUGGGGGCUGGGGCAUAGUGCUUGCUCUACUAAGGGUGGGGUGUCGAGGUUCUUUCAAUUUGGUUUUGUUAGUGACCCCCUUAGAGAGGAAUAUUGUGCUUGCACGAUUGACGAAACCUAACGGGCGGCUAGACACCAGGAGAAUCUUUGUAAAGGCUAGGUAGUGAAACCUUGCUGACUCACCUUGGAAGUGUUUGAAGGUUUGAUCGACCCUAGGCAAAAAAGGGAUCAUGGCUCGUGGGUAAAGUGUGCGACCUCUGUAGAGGGUUAGAAACUGUUAUAUCAGUUGUACUCACGAUUAAGACUUAAGAGCAGCCUUGGGAUCCUCUUUGAUUAGAGAUACUCUAGAUACAUUUAUUUUGAUGGUUUAAUGAUGAUGGCUAUACUUAUGAUUUCUGGUACUUUCCUCUCUGAGGAGGUGCUUUCUUUUGGGAUAUCAACUUUGUAACUAUGAUAAAACUUGGCUUCUACUAAUGAUAAAUAUCUGACAAACUAAAAGCAACUGCUUUGAUCUUAACCCCACAUACAGCUAGUCCAAUUUAGCCAAACGGGACAUUUGCUAAGUACGAUGAUGUGUACUCACCCUUGCUUAAACACUAAAAACCAGGUUGUCCACAUUGCAACCAUUGCUUAGAAGAAGAUGAAGGAAACGCGGAGGACUUUUAGGUGUUUCAGGACUUCGAGGAGUUCUAAACUAGAUUAGCGGCAAACCCCCAGUCAGUUGUCUGUGAAGGCCUUAUCUUACUAUGUUUCAUUUAGCACUUUGAUUUCUAUUUAAGUUAAUGACUAUGUGGAUGUUUCAGACAUCAUGAUGUAAUAAAGUAAUACUUCUUUACGCUAUUAUUUGAGCAUUGUGUGAUAAUGUCCAAUUAUGUAAUCGUUGUGUAUGUGAAUUUAUAAUCCUGGCACGUACAUGGUUCGCAUUCGGUUUGCCUUCCAAAAUCGGGUGUGACAACAUCCAAGUCCUAGAUGUGAGGCAUCACAAUAAACAUCAAAUCCUUUAUGAAUAUCUAGCAUUACCAAAACCAGUGCAGUGGUUAGCUUUUCCUUGAGUUCCUCAAAACAUUUCUGGCAAACUUUGUUCCAUUUAAACUCUUUACUUUUCUCCAGCAGUGAAGUAAGAGGUUUCACUAACUUGGAGAAGCCUUCGCUGAAUCUUCUAUAAUAACCUGCUAAUAUCUUUGACACUCCUUUAGUUGUUUCCAAUUUAGUAUUUCACUUAUCUUGCCUAGAUCUACCUUAAUUCCACCAUGAGUUAUAAUAUAUCCUAAGAAGGAAACUUCCUUCGGCCAAAAACCACACUUCAAAAAUUUUGUACACAACUGAUUGUCACAAAGCUUCUGAAGAACUAGUCUAAGAUGAUCUUCAUGUGUUUCUUCAUUCCGGGAGUAUACCAGUAUAUCAUCAAUGAAUAUUACUAUGAACUUGUCGAGAUAUUCCAAGAAUACUUUAUUCAUCAAGUUAAUAAAGUAUGCUGGCGCAUUAGUCAGUCCAAAUGACAUGACCAAAAACUCAUAUAAUCUGUAUCUUGUGGUAAAGGUUGUCUUGGGUACAUCUUCAGCUCUAAUCUUCAGCUGAUGAUAGCCUGAUCUUAGAUCUAUCUUAGAGAAUAUCUUAGGUCCUCUCAUCUAAUCAAACAAGUCUUCAAUCCAAGGUAAAUGAUAUGUGUUCUUAACAGUUACUUCAUUCAAGCUUUUAUAAUCAACACACAUUCUUCUUGAACCAUCUUUCUUAUCCACAAAUAGAACUAGAGCUCCCCAAGGGGGGAGCUCGGAUGGAUAAAACCUUUUUCUAACAAUUAUUCUAUAUGUUUCUUAAGUUCACCUAAAUCCUUAACAUCCAUUCUAUAGUCUUUUUGAUAUAGGUGCAGUUCCAGGUAAUAAUUCAAUAGAGAUUUCUACAUCACGAUCAAGUGGCAUACCUGGUAAUUCCUCUAGGAACACGUAUAAGUAUUCACAUACGACUCUGAUGUUUUCCAAAGAUUUAUCCUCCAAAUGAUUUACCACGGUUCCUGCUUCUGCUGGCAUGCUAACAUUGACCUCAACUAUUUGUCCUUACGGACUUGUUAACAUAACCAUCCUCUUAGCGCAAGAUAUUACUCCACCAUACUUGGUUAGAUAAUCUAUACCAAGUAUCACAUCAAUUCCACUAGAUUCCAAGAUUAUCAGCUCUAUGUCACACCCGGUUUUAGAAGGUAAACCGAAUGCGAACCAUGUACGUGUCAGGAUCAGAACUCACGUAUAUAGCGAUUACAUAAAUGACUCAUCAUAGCACAAUGCUUCGAAUAUUAAUAAAGACUAAGUAAUAAUACUACAGACUAUAGUCAUUUACAUGAUAUAAAUCAAAGUGCACAUAAUAGAAACGUAACCAACGUAAAUAAACCCGCCACAUACAGCUGACUGGGGGAGGUCGUCAAACUCAUUGAAGUCCUGGAACUCCUAGAAGUCCGCCUUAUCACCUUCUUCUUCUUCUUUACCUGAGCAUACAUUGCACCAAAGGCAACAUGGUGUUUUGUGAAAGCAAGGGUGAGUACACAUCAACGUACUCUGCAAAUGUCCCGUUUGGCUGAGGUGGACUAGCUUUAUGUGUGUUUAGGAUUAAAGCAGAUGCUUUUAGUUUGUUAGGUAUUUAUUAUUAGUACAAGCCAAGUUUUAGCAAUAACCAACCCGUGAAUCAUUUCCUCACCAAGGAACAUCAUUAUCAUCAUCGAACAAAAAACCAUUAAUAGAACCAUUGUAUCUCAGAUCAUCUGCAUCUCUAAUCAAAGGAGCUCCCAAGGCCACUCAUAACCGUCAGCACUACUGAUAUAUCAGUUUCGAUCCUUUGCAGAGGUCGCGCACUUUACCCAUGAGCCGUGAUUCCCAUUCUGUCCAAGGAGCACUUAUCCUCAUUGACCACUACCUAGGUGAUAUGGUAGGGUAUCACUACGUAGCCUUUACAAAGAUUCCCCGUGUGUGUAGUCGUCCGUUAGUUUUUGCCAGUCGUACAUACACAGUACUCCUCCCUAAGGUGGGUAACUAACAAAACUGAAACGAAUGAACCUCGGCACCAACCCUUAGCAAAGCAAGCACUAUACCCCGGCCCCCAUUGAUAGCACAACGGUGAAGCCAACUACACCCCUAAGUUCCUCCAAUUAAUCAGCUAAGGGCGUCCCAUUCUACCCUCAUGGUUGUACUGUUUUCCCAGAUGGUCAUCCAGCGAACAAGUCCUUACAGAGAGGUACUUGGGAAACAGCCUGAGUCCCCUAAAAUCACACAAGUUCAUCAUCAUAAUCAAGAUAUCAUCAUGUAUCAUAGAUAUUCUUAUCAUGUUCAUUGAUUAAAGUAGAGCGCUAGCAUAAAGCUAACCACAAUAACCCAAAAAUUAAUCAAGGAUGAGGUAAAUAGAAAGCUAGUCAAUCCUUAUGUUUUAAUUGUAUAAUGCGGGGAAAUGAAUGUGAAUAGGAUAUAAGUAGGUCAGAGGACACUUGCCUUCACCAAACAGAAGCUUAGGGUCUUCAACAUUAUGGAACUCGAGGAGCUUGUUCGCUUGGUCGUGAAACUUGACUGUCGAUUCCUUAAAGCUUAGGAAUAGAUCGCAAUCUAUUCGCGACGCGCAACGAAUACAAACUGGCACAAGAAACACAUAUACUUGCAUAAGAACAUUACACCAUACCAGAUAAAAUAUUAUAAAAACGAGCAAUAUAAAAUAGAGAGCGCUUCUACGGUUACACAAGGAAAAGGAACGAACCAGUCGAAGCUAUGGUCGAGAAGUUAUCACGUUUACACUAAACCAGUAUUAAUCAGAAUAUUUAAUUUGACAUAAUUAUAUUAAUUGAACUUUAUCAAAUGUACAUUAAAACUACUACUUAGCUUUGGCUAAAUUACUGUUUUUUUAUAGUGGACGAUUAAAUAAAUAGUUAAUUUACUGACAUGAGUGGUUAUGAGCGAACGAUUUAAUAUUACGCACAGACAACGCGCGAUACACAAAAACAGCGUGCGCGACAGACACACGUGAACGACGUGAACAACACGGCAUCACGUGCACCAGACGCGCGACAAGAACGUGCGAACAAACAACAACGACGCGCAAAUAGCGCGCGAGAUAGCGUGAAACAGUGUGCGAGACAUGCGUGAUCGAUGUGUGCUGCAGUACGUGAAUAAUGUGCGAACCAGAUGCGCGACAAAGCGCGCGACACACAAAAACGAUGCGCGCGACGUGCGGAAUUGGCAUGCGCGACACCCACAAAUGACGUGACCUACGGGAAAUCAAUUUUCGUGUUUAUGCUAAACAAGUAGUAAUUCGAAAUGUCCGAAUCAGCAUAAUCAUGAAACAAUUAUUUACAGAUAUGAAAUAAAACUAUAGGUUAGUUUUAAGUGGAACAUUAUUCUAAUACCCAACUGAUGAACAAAUGAUUAAUUAAAUAAAUCAAAAUUCACGAAUUAUUAUGACGUGGCGUAAUUCUAUUGGUUUCGGAUUGACCACAUAGAGGGUCGCAUGGAUCUUGGUCGCAGAAGAUCCCACGUAGGAUCUCGCGUGGAUGGGGAUUCUCUCUUUCGUCUUCCCUGGAAACACAACCGCACUCCGCACGCAUCAAAAUCCACACAGGGGGAGGCUUCGCCUGGCCAUCGGGAUGAGGCUGGCCGCCGCGCCACCGGGCCACGUGCGCCUGCAGGGGCCCGAGGGGGGAGGGGGCGUGCAACCGCGAGGGGGCGUGCAACCGCGAGGGGCCGUGCAGUCUGUCGCGCCGGGCGAGCCAGGCUUGGCCGCACGCGCAGGGAAGGACGGGCUGGGCGCUGGCUGAUCCGAUGGUUGGCCUCACAGGCCUGCAAUGGUGCACAAGGCCGCCAUGGCACGAGCUCGUCGGGGAUCAGGUGCCGAGUGGCCGCCGCGCGCAAGGGAGAAGAGGUGGGGGCCACGACCAGGGGCCCUGCGGCGUAGCACGCCAAGGGGAGAGGACGCCGAGGGAAAGGAGGUAUAAGGAGAGACUCACCUGCGUAUGCGAUGACCAAUAACCGCCUCUCCGUGAUUUGGAUCUGGGGACGAAGUGCAUAUGUGAGCAGAUGGGAGAGAUCUGUAAAUCCCAAAUUUGGAUGGAAUAAUUUUUUUAUACAAAAAGCUUUGGAAAUUAUGGAACCCUACGUGAUUAAUUGUUCUCUUCUCUUUUGCAUAUGUAAAUAAAG
rnacentral:lncRNA from 1 species